rnacentral:tRNA from 1 species
GGCCACGUGGUGAAGUAGCUAACACGGCGGUCUGCAAAACCGCUAUCCAUGGGUGCAAAUCCCAUCGUGGCCUCGA